GAUGAAGACGCAGCGAAAUGCGAUAAGUAAUGUGAAUUGCAGAACUCAGUGAAUCAUCGAAUCUUUGAACGCACAUUGCGCCCCCUGGUAUUCCGGGGGGCAUGCCUGUCCGAGCGUCAUUACAACCCUCAAGCUCAGCUUGGUGUUGGGCCCCGCCGCCCCGGCGGGCCCUAAAGUCAGUGGCGGUGCCGUCCGGCUCCGAGCGUAGUAAUUCUUCUCGCUCUGGAGGUCCGGUCGUGUGCUCGCCAGCAACCCCCAAUUUUUUUCAGGUUGACCUCGGAUCAGGUAGGGAUACCCGCUGAACUUAAGCAUAUCAAUAAGCGGAGGA
rnacentral:misc_RNA from 1 species